AGCGAACGUUUGCGGCGGGCUUAACACAUGCAAGUCGAACGAGAAUCCCUUCGGGGAGGAAAGUGGCGCACGGGUGCGUAACACGUGGAUAACCAACCCAUUGGUUUGGGACAACACCGGGAAACUGGUGCUAAUACCAGAUGUGUCGCAGCUGUCUUCAGGCGGUUGCGAGAAAGGCCCGCAAGGGUCGCCAACGGACGGGUCCGCGUCCCAUCAGCUAGUUGGUGAGGUAAUGGCUCACCAAGGCAAAGAACGGGUAGCUGGUCUGAGAGGAUGAUCAGCCACACUGGAACUGAGACACGGUCCAGACUCCUACGGGA
rnacentral:rRNA from 1 species